AAUGAACGUUGGCGGCGUGGAUUAGGCAUGCAAGUCGAGCGAGAACCCGCAAGGGGGACAGCGGCAAACGGGGUAGUAAUGUGUCGGAACGUGCCCUCUGGACGGGGAUAGCGGCGGGAAACUGCCGGUAAUACCCGAUGAUCUCGAGAGAGCAAAGGUGUGAUUCCGCCGGAGGAGAGGCCGACAUGGUAUUAGCUAGUUGGAGGGGUAACGGCCCACCAAGGCUGUGAUGCCGAGGGGAUGUGAGAGCAUGAUCCCCACCAUUGGGACUGAGACACUGCCCAGACACCUACGGGUGGCUGCAGUCGAGAAUCUUCGUCAAUGGGCGAAAGCCUGAACGAGCGACGCCGCGUGUGGGAUGAAGGCCCUUGGGUUGUAAACCACUGUCGAGGGGGAUGAAGGCUUGAAGGUACUCCUUCAAGUUUGACAGAGCCCUGGAGGAAGCACGGGCUAAGUUCGUGCCAGCCGCCGCCGUAACAC
rnacentral:rRNA from 1 species